rnacentral:lncRNA from 1 species
CUCAUUCUAAAUCUUCACUUCUUUUCCCUCGAAUCUGUCCCAAAUUCUUCGAAUCUCAAAUCAAAGAUCUGAACCCUAAAAUUCCAAAACCUAAAUCAGUGUGCCUUUUUGAGGAUUUGAAGUCGAAAUUGGUUUUAUUCAUGUGUUUUCAUUUGAGAACACAUGAUUAAAACCAUUUCGGUCAAAAUCGAAAGUUCAAGGAUUGAAUUCAAGUUUAGGCCCGUCCAGUUCUUUAGGUACUUCUCAGUCUCUUUUCAUUUUUCUUGCAUGUUUCUUAUUCUUUCUUUUAAGAACAUUUUCAUCUUUUUUUUCUGUUUUCUCUUUUCUUUUCUUAUGUGUUCAUCUUUUGUUUGUUUUGGUUGCAUAAUUAGCCUAAUGACGAGCUUAGCUUAAUGGCUUUGUUAAUCAGUUUAUGUCCCUUUUUCUUUUGUUUUGGUCUAUUUUUUAAAAAAGCUUGCUGGUUUUUCUUGUUGGAAAUUCUGUUUAGCCCAUUAAAUUUUGAUUGUUGAUUGGGGCUCGAAUUAUGUUUUGAAGACAGAGAGCCCAAGAGGGGAUUCAACAUGGGUUAUAUAGACCCACACCAAAUUGAGUUGGGUCAAUUUGACCCAUAUUCUAUCUUGCUUCAGGGUAAUAACGGGGGUAUUGAAGGGUAAAUUAGGAAGUCUAGGUAGAGAAUCUCUGAAUAACUGAUUGAGGAAGCUUCCUGGAAACUGGGGUGGGGAUUAAUGUGAAAAUCUAUUUUUUAACUUAGGGAUAUCUAAGCAAGAAUGAAAAUAUCAAAAGGGUAGAAGUGCAAAUCUGAAUUCUUUUAGGCUGCCCUGUUUCUUGCCUAUAAAGGCAUCAUUUCUUGCCUUUCAAAGAAAAAAAAAGAGCUGAAAAGAAGAAAAGCUCAGAAAAAUCACAGACAGUUAAAAAAAAAUUUGAAAAAAAAACACACUGUUCCAUUGAACUUCCUGCUUUGAAACGCUGAGGCUUUCAAUUCCUGAGGCAAUUUUGCUUUAUUUUGGGGUUGAAAUGGAUUAAGUUCGAGUCAAAAAGUUUAGGUUUGAUUUAUGCUGGGUUGUUGUUCAACAGAAAUUGGCUUUGGGACUUUUGCACCUCAUUUUGGGUUUGAAAGCUGAGUUUGGGUUUGUUCGUGUGGAGUACUGUAUAGUUUGGGUUUCAGCUUGAAUUCCCUGAGUUUAAUUGGCUGACUCUAUCACUGUUCCAUUGCUUCUCUGCUGUUGCUAGCUACUGAUUUCUUCUCUUCUGUUGUUUCUCUUUAUUCCCAGGUAUGUAUCGACUCUUGAUUAACAUAUGAGGUACAAAUGUGAAGCCAUGUAACCAAAUUGAAGUGAGAUGGCAAAAGCUAGCUUCCUACUGUCGAGUAAUUGUUCAGAUGUGUUGUAUUUUGUCCAUGUGUUUAGUUUUAUUUUGUAUAUUUCGUUCAUGUGUUAGUCUGGUAUUUCGUUACAAGGCUUGAAUAUGUGGUUUUCCUUUUGAAUGAUGUUUGGACUUCUCGUUUGGCUUGAUUUAGCUGAAGUUCGUUAAACUUUGGAGAUGUUUUUCUUUAGUAGUGUUGAAACAUCCCUCAAAUUAGUUCUUUUAUUUGUUCUUCCUCAGCAAAUCUGGUUUGUAUUCUGUUGCCCAUCCAAUAGUUUUUUUUUUGAAUAAGCUCAGUACUUUAGUUGUUACCUAGCCCUACUUGAUUCAUGAAUAAAUUCACACGGG